AUAACUUUUUAAUCAUUAGCGGAGAAAAGAAACCAACAGGGAUUGCCUUAGUAACUGCGAGUGAAGCGGCAAAAGCUCAAAUUUGAAAUCUGGCGUCUUUGACGUCCGAAUUGUAAUUUGGAGGGGCAUCUUCGGAGUUGGCGCCGUCCUAAGUUCCUUGGAACAGGACGUCAUAGAGGGUGAGAAUCCCGUGCCUGGAUGGCUGUCCAUCUCCAUGUGAAGUGUCUCCGACGAGUCGAGUUGUUUGGGAAUGCAGCUCAAAAUGGGUGGUAAAUUUCAUCUAAAGCUAAAUAUUGGCGAGAGACCGAUAGCGCACAAGUAGAGUGAUCGAAAGAUGAAAAGCACUUUGAAAAGAGAGUUAAAAAGUACGUGAAAUUGUUGAAAGGGAAGCGCUUGAGACCAGACUCAACUUUAGGCAAUCAGCUGUGCUUUUGUGCGGUGCACUUGCCUUUAGUUGGACCAGCAUCGGUUUUGACGGUGGGAUAAAAGGUGGAGGAAUGUGGCUCUCUUCGGGGAGUGUUAUAGCCUCUAUCACAAUGCCACCAGUUGGGACCGAGGACCGCGCUUCGGCUAGGAUGCUGGCGUAAUGGUCUUAAGCGACCCGUCUUGAAACACGGACCAAGGAGUCUAACAUCUAUGCGAGUGUUCGGGUGGAAAACCCUUGCGCGUAAUGAAAGUGAACGGAGGUGGGAACCUUUCGAGGUGCACCAUCGACCGAUCCUGAUGUCUUCGGAAGGAUUUGAGUAAGAGCAUAGCUGUUGGGACCCGAAAGAUGGUGAACUAUGCCUGAAUAGGGUGAAGCCAGAGGAAACUCUGGUGGAGGCUCGCAGCGGUUCUGACGUGCAAAUCGAUCGUCAAAUUUGGGUAUAGGGGCGAAAGACAAUCGACCUUUUU
rnacentral:rRNA from 1 species